GCAAGUCGAACGGCAGCAUGCACUUCGGUGUGAUGGCGAGUGGCGCACGGGUGAGUAACGCGUACAAAACCUACCUUUUACUGGGGGAAAGUCGCUGGAAACGGCGAAUAAUCCCGCAUACGACUUUCGAGACACAUGUUUUGAGAGUGAAAGGCUUCGGCUGGUAAAAGAUGGUUGUGCGUCCCAUUAGCUAGAUGGUAAGGUAACGGCUUACCAUGGCGACGAUGGGUAGGGGGCGUGAGAGCGUGGUC
rnacentral:rRNA from 1 species